GUUAUUUCUCAACCUGCCAGAGAGUUAAAAGCACUGCAGAGGAUACUGACCGCCGAACUCUUGUCUAAGCUGCCGGUACAUCCUGCGGCCACCGCAUAUCGCCCAGGCGUGUCUAUUCGGGCCAAUGCAGCGGCACAUGCGCCAAAUGGACCUAUACUCAAAUACGACUUUAAGGAUUUUUUCCCUUCGAUAACCUCCAAGGAUUGGCGCAACUACUGCGAAAAUAACCACG
rnacentral:misc_RNA from 1 species